AUGCUCAAAAUUCUCCAAGCCAGGCUUCCGCAAUAUAUGAACUGUAAACACCCUGAUGUUCAAGCUGGUUUUAGAAAAGGCAGAGGAACCAGAGAUCAAAUUGCCAACAUCUGCUGGAUCAUGGAAAAAGCAAGAGAGUUCCAGAAAAACAUCUAUUUCUGCUUUAUUGACUAUGCCAAAGCCUUUGACUGUAUGGAUCACAAUAAACUGUGGAAAAUUCUGAAAGUGAUAGGAAUACCAGACCACCUAACCUGCCUCUUGAGAAAUCUGUAUGCACGUCAGGAAGCAACAGUUAGAACUGGACAUGGAACAACAGACUGGUUCCAAACAGGAAAAGGAGUAUGUCAAGGCUGUACAUUGGCACCCUGCUUAUUUAACUUCUAUGCAGAGUACAUCAUGAGAAACACUGGACUGGAGGAAACACAAGCUGGAAUAAAGAUUGUCAGGAGAAAUAUCAAUAACCUCAGAUAUGCAGAUGACAUCACCCUUAUGGCAAAAAGUGAAGAGGAGCUAAAAAACCUCUUGAUGAAAGUAAAAGAUGAGAGAGAAAAAGUUGGCUUAAAGCUCAACAUUCAGAAAAUGAAGAUCAUGGCAUCCAGUCCCAUCACUUCAUGGGAAAUAGAUGGGGAAACAGUGGAAACAGUGUCAGAUUUUAUUUUGGGGGGCUCCAAAAUCACUGCAGAUGAUUGCAGCCACGAAAUUAAAAGACUCUUACUCCUUGGAAAAAAAGUUAUGACCAACCUAGAUAGCAUAUUGAAAAGCAGCAACAUUACUUUGCCGACUAAGGUCUGUCUAGUCAAGGCUAUGGUUUUUCCUGUGGUCAUGUAUGGAUGUGAGAUUUGGACUAUGAAGAAGGCUGAGCACCAAAGAAUUGAUGCUUUUGAACUGUGGUGUUGGAGAAGACUGUUGAGAGUCCCUUGGACUGCAAGGAGAUCCAACCAGUCCAUUCUGAAGAUCAGCCCUGGGAUUUCUUUGGAAAGAAUGAUGCUAAAGCUGAAGCUCCAGUACUUUGGCCACCUCAUGUGA
rnacentral:lncRNA from 1 species